rnacentral:lncRNA from 1 species
UCUCUCUCUCUCUUCAACUAUGACCUCUUUUCCCCCAAAUUUUCAAUCAUACUCGACCUCCUUUCUCCCAAAAUCCUACAAAUCCCACCUCUAUAAUGUUGAAGAUAGGAUCCCUAUUCAGCGAGUCGUGAAAGGAAAUCAAAUUUCCGUUAAAGAGAAAUUGUUUCGAGCCCUAAUCGAAGAAGUUAAAUGCAGAGUGGAAGUUCAUUAAUAUUGCCAUGAGUAUUGAUCCAGAGCGGAACUUGAAAAGUAACAACACUGAGGUUCAAGUUGUUGUAUUUAUUCUUUGGAGGCAGUGGAAUUCAGUUAGAUACAAAUUAAGAUAGAUUCGUUUUUCUCGGAAGGAACAUCACAUUCUACGCAAGAAAAGAUUUUAUUAAGAAAGUUGAGGAAGGGAGCAUAACCAACCCACUCUGAGAGAAGAAACUAGCAGUACAGC